CAGAAAAAGAGUCCCUCCUUCAGACGAAGGGGCUGUCUCAUGAACUCUUUCUUUACCCUGACAUCUAAAGAAACUUGAUCUUUUAAAGAAAAGGUGAGAGUUGAGCGUGCAAAACCCAUUUUGGGUUCAGCUGGACAGCAUUGCAUUAAGUAGCUGUUCCCAAGCCAGGCCUAUAACCUGAAUAUGAAUAUAUCUCAGCUUUUAGUUUUAACAAUUGUACGACACAGCAGAAAGGAAAGAGAUUUGAAGGCAUUUAUUCUCCAACCAGGUUAAUGUUCUUAAUUUGCUUCAAUGCGCGUCCGUUCUUGUGUUAAUUCGAAUGCCAUUCUGUGCCUAUGAUAUAGCUAUUGUGUGUAUUUGUUGUGGAUAAGGGGCAAACGCUCUGGUCUUAUUUGAUGUUUUUGUUUAGACUAUGUCCUGCAUUAAAUGAUUGCUCUUCCCCAAGAUUCCUAAAUGAACUCAGCUGUUAUGCAGGUACAUGGAUUAAUAUCACCCUUAACGGAUGUGGUGUAAGCAAACUCUUUGCAGGUUUCGUCUAUUACUUUUCUUCUAAUUUAACGGGAAUUUGUACGCAAAUAAAUCCAAAUAGAAAUGUUUUAACUGGCGAUCAUACUGUAAUUGCAAGGCAAUCAUAACGCAGGGUAUCUUAUUCAGAAAUGCUCUUUUGAAAAUGUAGGUCUAAUAAUUUGAAAAAGAUGCGCACUUAAAAUAGGCUGCAACGUGCAUCACGCACGACCUGCUAUUUGGCGCGCCUGCUUGUUGAGAUGAUGUAAAAAAAACAACAAAAAAAAAACAAACAAACAAAAAAAAAAGGUUAAAAUAAAUAUUUGGCUUCAGACCGUCUCUUUUCCGCAGACACGUCACACCUCAACGAAUAUUCAAUCACAGUUCACGCUCUCCCUCAUUAUUUUUCAUCUUCACGUGUUUUCAUCAUCAAAAAAGAGUAACUACUUUUUUUCAUUUAAAACAGAGGAGGUGAAAGCAGCGUGAGGACCGUUGCCAGGGGGAAAACGCCACCUCACCGCCUUCAGAAAGCAGGCUGAGCUGUUGGAGAAAGAGGAAGCCAAGUGAAACCCAGCACAGACAGCCUGACAGCUCCAGCCUGGGGAACGCGUGGAUGAGGGAUGCUCUAGACCUCCUCCACUGAAAUGACUGUGGCAGGUUUUUUAAACAGAAGGUAUGGUAACAAGACAGCAAGUGGACAGAUAGAUAAAUAUAUUGCUAGAUAACUAGAUGUAUAGAUAUAUAGAUAAAUAGAACUUUAUUGAUCCUCAAAGGCACAUCAAGUACAGAGGACAGCACAAAUAAAAUGCUACAAGAACACACGGUCAGAUAAUGAGGAUGAUGGUAAUGAUGAUGUAUGAUGGUAAAGUGUCCAGUGGUAAUACUAAAGUAAAAUUAAAGCAGAGAUUAAUGUUUUCUGCACCACUUAAACCAAUGUGGAUGAAUCCUAAAAUUAAGCUAAAUGAGUCCUUGAAUGACCAUAAAGUUUGUCUGAAAUUAUGCUCAUUGUGGUUCUUGAAAUAUGAAGCCAUGAAUGUAAGAAUCUCCAGUCUUAACCUGUGCAAUACUAGGCUGACCUGAGCUCUGACGGACACGCUGGCAUUCAGAGCAUACAGGUAUGUGUUCUCCCACCAUCGUGUCAUUAAGAUGAUCAACUCAGUUUCAUAGCCGGAGCUUCUGGAGUUUGAUGGGCAGGCGGCCGUCAAACAGGUGUUCUCACCCUCCCUGCACUUUCAAGAUGCAGAAGGCCAGCAUGACAAAAAUACCAGCUUCACAGUGCUUAGCAGCUCCUGCAGCUGUUGCUUUUCCAGAGGCUGCUCAUGCUCGUGAUGCCCUCCAGAUCUGCUUCACACCCACACCAGAAAACAACGUGAUGAAAACAACCAGAAACCUGAAUGAACGAGCCUCGUGUGUUGUGUGUUAAUGGAAAUAUAAGAUGCAAAAGUGCUAGUCUUUCUGAGGGGGUUGUCAGGUUGGGCAAGGACUCACCUUAUUUGGAGGACUCUGGGUUUUUAUCUUUGCUCUGUUCGUCAUGAUGUUUUCACAAGUUUAUUUGGAACAUUUGUUUUUCCUUUGUGCACAGUUAGCAAGCCAUAGGUGCUGGCAUAUAUAACACAGCUGCGACACAGAUCAGCUCCCCAAACUGAGAAGUAAGUACAAACACAUAGUGGGGAAUGUCCUGGACAAAACAAACAAACAAAAACAAUUAAAGGACUAAACAACUGGCCUCCAAAACUGUAUGUUUUUGGUAGUCAUCAGAGAAACAAUGUUACAUGUAGAGAAGAAAUUUUGGAUGUUUUUAUGGUGCUUUCAUCACAUUAUUUGGCAUAUGUGAAGGUUUGUGUUUUGCAAUGUAAAUAAAAGUUACUUUACUGA